rnacentral:misc_RNA from 1 species
UCCGUUUUGUCAACGGCAGUCUCAACAGAGUUCCCGGCCGAACCGCUGGCAACUGUUGAUAAGGGUUGCGCUCGUUGCGGGACUUAACCCAACAUCUCACGACACGAGCUGACGACAGCCAUGCAGCACCUGUGUCCAGGUUCCCUUUCGGGCACCGCUGCAUUUCUGCAGCGUUCCUGGCAUGUCAAGGGUAGGUAAGGUUUUUCGCGUUGCAUCGAAUUAAACCACAUGCUCCACCGCUUGUGCAGGCCCCCGUCAAUUCCUUUGAGUUUCGGUCUUGCGACCGUACUCCCCAGGCGGGAUGCUUAAUGCGUUAGCUGCGCCACCAACAAGCAUGCUUGCUGACGGCUAGCAUCCAUCGUUUAAGGCGUGGACUAC